UACGGAAGGCAGCAGUGGGGAAUAUUGCACAAUGGGCGCAAGCCUGAUGCAGCCAUGCCGCGUGUAUGAAGAAGGCCUUCGGGUUGUAAAGUACCUUCAGUCGUGAGGAAGGUGUUAAGGUUAAUAACCUUAGCAAUUGACGUUAGCGACAGAAGAAGCACCGGCUAACUCCGUGCCAGCAGCCGCGGUAAUACGGAGGGUGCGAGCGUUAAUCGGAAUUACUGGGCGUAAAGGGCACGCAGGCGGUUAAUUAAGUUGGAUGUGAAAUCCCCGGGCUUAACCUGGGAAUGGCAUUCAAGACUGGUUAGCUAGAGUCUUGUAGAGGGGGUAGAAUUCCAUGUGUAGCGGUGAAAUGCGUAGAGAUGUGGAGGAAUACCGGGUGGCGAAGGCGGCCCCUGGGACAAAGACUGACGCUCAUGUGCGAAAGCGUGGGGAGCAAACAGGGAUUAGAUACC
rnacentral:rRNA from 1 species